UGCAGCGCUGUGGCGUUGCUACCACUCACCCUUGAAAAUAUCGUCGUCCAAAAUCUAGGUUAGGGCAAUUUUUGGGGCCGAUCACUCCCGAUUCCGGGAACGAUUCCGGCUGAUAGGGAUCCUGGGAUUUGAAACCCUUAUGAGAUUGAGGGUUUGCUACUUUGGUUGUCAACUGCGAAGAGAAAACGAUUGUGGAAUAUCAGGGAGUAUUCCGGCGAAGGACGGAGAGUCAUUAUUGCAGCAUUCCACCAUUGACGUCGUGUUGCGACGAUCGCUACAUUAGUUGCAGCACCUUUCUUCCAUGAGGCCAUUGAACCAUAAAUAACAGGCAGGAUCUGGAUGAUAGUGGGAAUUCGAAUGAACAGUUUGGCUGAUGGGUGAGAAUAGGGUACUUGGAUGGGAGCAAACAACCUCAUUAGAGGGUGAAAUGGUAUAUUUGUGGUAUAAGAUUUAGAAUGUGCUAAUGCAAUGGAUGAUGCAAGAGUCUGUGACUCUGGGGAUGUUAGCAAAGACAGUGAGGAAGAAAAAAACAAUGAUGGAGGAAAUGAUGGACCUAGUGAUAACUUUGACAGUGGGGACAAAGAAAAUAACAGAGGAAAUGGUGGACUAAGUGGUAGUGGGGCUAUUGAGGGAGAAGAAAAAAAUGUUGGAGAAAGGGAUGGACUGACCAGAGCUGCAGAUGCUGGUUUGUUGGGUGAAGAGUACACUGUAAGCUCUCUUUGUGAUUUGGAACCCUUUAUAGGAAAGGAAUUUGAUGGAUUGGAGGAAGCUUAUGACUUCUAUAACACAUAUGCUAAAGAGAUGGGUUUUGGAAUUCGAAAUUACCGGACUGAGCGGUCAAGGGUAGACAACCGCAUAUUAUGUAAAUUAUUUGUUUGUGCAAACCAAGGGUUUAAAUGCGAAAAUGAUAAGCGUCGCAAGGGCAAGAUAUAUGUACCUAGAGCGACAAGGAAGACUGAUUGCAAGGCUUGCAUGAGGGUGAAGUUGCGGAAUGAGAAGUGGGUUGUGGAUAGAUGGGUCAGUGAGCACAAUCAUGAACUUUUGAGCCCAACAGAGGUAUACAAACUUCGUUCUCACAAAAAAAUGACAAAGGCUACAAUGGUUUUGAUGGGGAAGCUGCAGCAUGCUGGUUUUACCCAUACCCAGGUAACUAGAAUUUUGAGGGAAUUAGCAAGAGGAGAACGUAAUAUUGGGGUAAGUGAUGAUGCAUGUGAGAACCAGACAAGGACGCCAGAGAAGAAGUUAUUGGGUGUUGAUUGCACAAUUGCAUUAGACUAUUUUGAGCUUCUACAAGAGACUGAUCCGGGAUAUUUUUAUACUAUUCAAGUUGGAAAAGACAACAAGUUGAAAGGAAUAUUUUGGGCAGAUAAACGUUCAAGGGAACAGUACCAGUUGUUUGGUGAUGUUGUUGUCCUUGAUACAGCAUUUAUGAAGGACAGGUACAAUUUUCCUUUUGCUUCUUUCACAGGUUUCAACCACCAUAAGCAGUCCAUAUUGUUUGGUUGUGGUUUGAUAGCAGAUGAAUCAGAAGAGUCCUACAUAUGGUUGUUCAAGACCUGGCUCCGUGCUAUGAAUGGGAAGCACCCAAUAGGUAUUCUUACGGAUCAGGAUAAAGGAAUGUUGCCAGCAAUUGCAAAAGUAUUCCCAUUCACAAGACAUAGGUUGUGUAACUGUUGUACCACCAAGAUUGCAAAGGAGAACUUAACCAAACUUUGGAGUCGGCAUGAUGCGUUUGAGGCUGAAUAUAGGAGCUGUGUGGAUAGUCAUAGCAGUACUGAAUUUGAGUACAAGUGGCGAGCUUUGAUUCAAAAAUACCGUCUUCAGCAGAAUAUUUGGCUGAAUGAGAUGUAUACUAUCCGACACAUGUGGGUUGCUUGUUACUUUAUUGACACAUUCUUUGCAGGUAUAACGACCAUCCAAAAAAAUGUGGGACUGAAUAGGUAUUUUAAAGGGUUCUUUAGCCAUUCAACGCCUUUGACAGAGUUUGUGACACAAUAUGAAGGGGCCAUUAAAUGGCGACGUGUAAAGGAAUCAAAGCAAGAUAUUGCUUCUAGUGCAACCAAGCCAAGGUUGAGCACAGGACAUCCAAUUGAAAAGCAAGCUGCUGCCCAUUAUACAAACAAAAUGUUUAUUGAAUUUAGUGAUCAAUGGUUUUCCUGCUUUGGUUGUGAAGCCAUCGAAGAUGGUUUUGAUGGCCCUGCCCUCAAAUUCAAGGUUGGUAUACAUGGUGCACUGGAGAAUGAAAUCGAAACAGUGUCAUAUGACAAAGAUUCAGGAAAUAGCAAAUGCAGUUGUAGGAGGUUCGAGCAAAUUGGUAUUUUGUGCAAGCAUGUGCUUAGGGUUUAUGUAAAAAUGGAUCGGACUGACAUCCCACAGAAUUACAUGUUGAUGAGGUGGAGUAAUUCUUCUAGGCAUGCCGGGGCAUUACACAAUGAUACUGGGCUUGAGAGUGGAUCAAGCCAAACUCAAAUGCAAACAGUGUGGGUUUUACAGGAUGCUGCCAACAAGGUUGCAAGACUUGGAAGUGAAUCGGAGGCAAAGUUCAUUCAUGCAAUGGAGUUGAUGGAAUCUGGAGUGAAGAGUCUGUCUGAGAUGGAGGGUGCCUCUAGUACGUGACCUUUCCCAAGAUCAAUUGAAGGGAAGUCCUUAAGUGCUGGUAAUUUGACCACUCUGCAAUUCAAACAAAUAAUGAAGUAAAAGAAUUGAGGAAGCUGGCUCUGGAAUGUUAAAACCUUAAUGAGGAUCCCCAAGCAUGCCCAUGGUGGUGGGAGCCUCGAGGUCUUCUAGGUCCCAAGUUCUUGGGUGUCACGAACUCCUGCUUGUUCUUAUCAACCCAUAAACGCAGAUGUUUUUGUUUAUACUAGGUGGGCAGUGAACAAGAAGACGAUCUCUCCUGAUCUGAUUAUGGUUUAUUCAAGACGAUGGAAGUACUCACUGUUUUAACUUUAGCAUGUAGAGUGAACCUUUUUUACUUAAUUUACAGGUGCAACUAACCUGCACUACUAGAUAUAGCAACUCAGUAACAUGUGCAUCUUAAAGACUUGUCGAUGCAGCCAACUUUUUUUUAGGGUAGGGAAAAGGGACCGUGGAGGUGGGGGUGGGGGUAAGUAGUGAUGUAAAUGUAUCGAAAAGUUGUAUUUGAUUUGUGUUUGUGUCUGUUUUGGGUGAAUUCGUAUUCAAAGAAUUGUUUUUCGGAAAUUAUCUGAAUCCACUCAAAGCUAAGCAGAUGUGGUUAUGAAUA